UCAAUGAGAGUGCCAAAUCAUUGCUUAAUAUACAGGAUUUGCUUCCGAACUACCACAAUGAGACCAGUACAUAUAGGGACAACAGGAACACACUGUUUACAACGCGGAGAGAAUUGACAAGGAAACGGACAACAGAACAGGGGGGACUCACUUCCAGACCCAUAUCGAGAUCAAUGGCCAAUGGAAGAAGUUGAACUUGAAUGUAUGCUUGAUGAAGAUUGUGGUAAGAACAGUUACUGCCUAUAUGAGAUAGUAAGCUCCAAGUGCCUCCCCUGCAGAGAUGUU